rnacentral:rRNA from 1 species
UACGGAGGGUGCGAGCGUUAUCCGGAUUCACUGGGUUUAAAGGGUGCGUAGGAGGGCAGGUAAGUCAGUGGUGAAAUCUCCGAGCUUAACUUGGAACUGCCGUUGAUACUAUCUGUCUUGAAUACCGUGGAGAUGAGCGGAAUAUGUCAUGUAGCGGUGAAAUGCUUAGAUAUGACAUAGAACACCAAUUGCGAAGGCAGCUCGUUACACGAAUAUUGACUCUGAGGCACGAAAGCGUGGGGAUCAAACAGG